rnacentral:misc_RNA from 1 species
UCGCUGCUUGCGCAGGCAGUCUCACUAGAGUCCCCGGCUUGACCCGCUGGUAACUAGCGAUAGGGGUUGCGUUCGUUGCGGGACUUAACCCAACAUCUCACGACACGAACUGACGACAGCCAUGCAGCACCUCGCUACCAGUCCGAAGAAGGGCCCCUUUCAGGGCCUGUCCGGUAGCGUUCGAGCCUGGGUAAGGUUCUUCGCGUUGCAUCGAAUUAAUCAGCAUGCUCCGCCGCUUGUGCGGGCCCCCGUCAAUUCCUUUGAGUUUUAGCCUUGCGGCCGUACUCCCCAGGCGGGGCGCUUAAUGCGUUAGCUACGGCACAGAACCCGUCGAUGGGGUCCCACACCUAGUGCCCAACGUUUACGGCGUGGACUAC